UGGGGAAUAUUGGACAAUGGGCGCAAGCCUGAUCCAGCCAUGCCGCGUGAGUGAUGAAGGCCCUAGGGUUGUAAAGCUCUUUCACCGGUGAAGAUAAUGACGGUAACCGGAGAAGAAGCCCCGGCUAACUUCGUGCCAGCAGCCGCGGUAAUACGAAGGGGGCUAGCGUUGUUCGGAUUUACUGGGCGUAAAGCGCACGUAGGCGGACUUUUAAGUCAGGGGUGAAAUCCCGGGGCUCAACCCCGGAACUGCCUUUGAUACUGGAAGUCUUGAGUAUGGUAGAGGUGAGUGGAAUUCCGAGUGUAGAGGUGAAAUUCGUAGAUAUUCGGAGGAACACCAGUGGCGAAGGCGGCUCACUGGACCAUUACUGACGCUGGGGUGCGAAAGCGUGGGGAGAAAACAGG
rnacentral:rRNA from 1 species